rnacentral:rRNA from 1 species
GACGAACGCUGGCGGCGUGCUUAACACAUGCAAGUCGAGCGGUAAGGCCCUUUCGGGGGUACACGAGCGGCGAACGGGUGAGUAACACGUGGGUGACCUGCCCUCAGCUCUGGGAUAAGCCUGGGAAACCGGGUCUAAUACUGGAUAUGACUCCAUGACGCAUGUUGUGGGGUGGAAAGCCUUGUGCGGCUGAGGAUGGGCCCGCGGCCUAUCAGCUUGUUGGUGGGGUGANGGCCUACCAAGGCGACGACGGGUAGCCGGCCUGAGAGGGCGACCGGCCACACUGGGACUGAGACACGGCCCAGACUCCUACGGGAGGCAGCAGUAAGGAAUAUUGGACAAUGGCCGCAAGGCUGAUCCAGCCAUGCCGCGUGCAGGAUGACAGUGCUCUGCACCGU